CCCAAAACCACACGGGGUGAGAACUAUAUAAAUAUAGUUCCCAGUGGGUUCGGCCGCCGACUCCGCCGAUCUUCCCACUAGGUCCAACCUGGCACAGAUAGAUAGAUAGGAAGAUAUAUGGAAAUACUACUACUAUAUCUAUUAUGCCAUCAAAUGCAAAGUAUGCAUGGAACAUCAUCUAGCAACAAUCUACUAUCAUGCUAAUAUGCCUCAACAGUGAAAUAAAUACAACAACAACAUAGUUAUGCAAUGCACUAUGUCUAAUCAAGGUAUGAAUGCAAUACUCUUAUGCUAUUCAUGUUAUUACCCAAUCCGCUAGGCUAACUUGCCUAAGAUCUCAAAUCUAGUAGGUGAAGAGCUACCUCACUCUUGUCUCACUCGACUCAUAUCUCAAAGGUCUGACCCAAUCUCGUGAGUCCCAGGCAAAGAGCUACCCCGCCCCUCGCCCGACUCACAUCUCAAGGUCCUAGACAAAGGCUACCCCGCACUUUGCCCGACUCACAUCUCGACCUACUAAGUACAGGGCUACUCCACUCAAAUCUCAUAGGUGAACAACAGCAACAACUAUGAAAGCAAGCUAUCAUGAACAACAAUAAUGAGUAUGACUCAAUAGGUACUCAAAUCUCAUAGGUGAAGGAAUAGUAUAUCAUGAAGGCAUGAGCAAUAAGUAAGCUACUAUGAACACUAGUAAGCUACUAUGAACAACAACAACAACUAUGGAAGCAAGCUAUCAUGAACAACAAUAAUGAGUAUGACUCAAUAGGUAACCAAAUCUCGUGGUGAACACAAGGUUCACAAGCAAGGCUCACAUAUCAAUCUCCUAGAGAUGCCUAGCUGGUCGAUCCCCGAGUACGCCUGCGGAUAACAAGCGGCUAUCCGAGCAGCAAGCAGGGCUGCCUCUCUAGUGACCAAACUCCGGAGCGCACAACCUGAGGGGAGCGACCCCACCAAGCGCAGACAGGCAAUGUGAGCGUGAUCAUCUCACGAGCAACAGCAACCUACCCUCUAAGGGUAAUCUCAUCAUGGAAUCAAGGUGUUCUUGUACCCAAUCUCAUAGUGUUUCAACUACACUAAGGUUCUCAUGUCAAGGUUAUCAACAAUCAUAUGCCACUCAUCAUAGUUUUCUAAACUAGAUGCCACUCGACAUUUAGACUCAUUUCAACACUAGUUACAUCAUACUAGUUCUUUAGCAACAUAAGCAUUAAUCACCUCACAUAGGGUCUAGGUCUUUAUCAUAAAGUUUUCAUCAUAUAAUCAUCAUGCAUACUAGAUCAUGGAUCAAUCAUCAAGAUGUAUAGCUACUAGCAUGCAAAUAUGAGCAAUGACCACAAUCAUUUAGCAUCUAAAUGCAAUAAAUACGAUAUGCAACUUGAUCGAUUAAUGUACUCAACUAAGGUUUAAUCUACAUUAAUCAUGCCCUUAUAGGGUUUCACCACACUAAGUCCCAAUCUCAUGCAUACUAGGUACAAGUAUUAAUCAAGUAACACUACAUCUCUCAUAGAUGCCAUGACAUUAACAAUUGCCAACUAGUACCUAUAAUGCAAUAUCCCAAUAUGCAACUUGAUCAAUGUUAACUAGAGUUUUCUAGUACAACAACAAAAUCCAUUACUAGUUCAAGUCAUAUGUGUUUUUAGCACAAUAAGUUCAAUUGCCAUUGUAAACUAAUGUCUUUAAACACAUACACUAUGUCUAUUCUCUUCAUUUAGCAUCAUAGUUUACCAAUUGUCAUUUAUAAUCCUUAUGUCCAUUACAUCAUAAUAUCCAUAUCAUAGUACUAUAUUGAUCAUAAAAUAUCAUAUAAGGAUUAGGAAUGCAUGUAUUGUCAUUCUAUAAUGCAUAGCAACAUACAAUAUGCUACAUGUGAACGGAUAAGCACUAAGACAUAGAAGAAGCCGAUGACUUCGGGAUGGCACUCCCCACCUUUUACAGCGUUCGAUUGCUUGUCGUCACGUGCAAUCGGCCUCCCGCGGCGCACGCCGUCGGGUCUCGACCCAAUCCGCGCGCGACCACCAAACGACUCUCCGAUCCGUAAUCCGAAAUAUAAAGGUCUUCGGUUUCUUGUACGAUGCUCAAAUCCGUUUUCGGAGAUUUUACGACGUCCGCCGUGCGCCUCCAGGCGGAAACGAAGCUAACGUCCGUUUCUUUAAUAACUUUGUACCGGCUCGACGAAUCGCCGAACCGUCGCUUCCAACGCGUUCUAGACCUAACAUAUAGGUAAACAGAGGUUAAAAGAGAUCAAACCCACAUACUUUGAAAUUUAGCAAUUUUGAGCCUAGGUUUAUAACUAUGCAAGAAAUCAUUAAAUUGCUCUAUGAUUCAAGCAUACGCAUCUAUUAGGCAUCAAUGGGUUCCAACUAAAAUCAUUUCCAAAGCAUUUAGACCUAUCUUUAGAGAUCUACCAUUAAAGCCCUCAUUUUGAGAGGCUCUAGGUUUCAAUAGGUAAAAAUCCACGAUUAGAACUUAGGAUCUAAGCAUAAAUCAUCAUACUUAGCAUCUAGGAAAGCUACUAAUAUCAUUUCUAGAGCUUAAAACCCAAGCAAUAGAGAAAUGCUCAUUAAAGCUCUUAAAGCUUACCUUCAAGCAUGCUCCAAUGAGAGGAAGAAGAUGAAAUUGAUGAAGAUCAACUCCAACUUACUUCUCCACAAUCCAUUCCAUUUGGGAGAGAUUUAGAGAGAGAAAAUGGAGGCUUCUCUUUCUCCCUCUUUCCAUGCGUGUGUUGUGUGGCGUGUGCGUGUGUGGUGUGCGGCCGAAGGAGAUGAAGAAGCAUCAAGUCUCUUAAUAAUACCACCUCAAUAUCAUCUAGGCAACUAAAAAUUGAUAACUUCUCGCCGGAGCUCCCUGAAUGUCGUUUGACGCUCAAACUGACAGUCAUGUUCGGUGUUUACUUAGCAACUUAAACAGCUGACGAUCACUGUUUCAGUUUCGACCUCGUUGUGUCACUGAAAACUGUACGAACUGCAAUCUUUAUCAGAUAGCUUUCGGAUUUUAUUUCUCACUCAACGGUGUCGAAAAUAUGAAACCUUAAAAUCUAGCCUCAUAAAAAUAUUUCUGACUUCUCUCUGCCAAUUUUCAUAAUUUUCUGAGACUGUGCAUUUUCUGCUAUUUAUCUGCCCCUUUCCAACAGAAAAUUCUAAAUCUUCUGUUUUAAUUCCGAUUUCAGCACAGGUCAUUCCCACUUAUAUUUCACUUCUCUAAUUCAAUAAAAAUAGUAAUCUCAAACUAUUUUUAUUUAUUUCUAUUUUUAUAUUUAAAUCCGGUAUAUUACAUUACACCGCAACCUUACCGGAACCAUUCAAAUGGCUCUCCAACCAAAUGGACACCGUAACCUCAUGAUUUUAGAAGUCCGGUACCUUACAGUAGGUCUCGCUCAUUUGGUAAAAUAAUCCACUGCCACUAUCAGAAAUUUGUGUCCAGCCGAAGAGUUCGACUAAAUUUCUCCAAUUAAAUCCAUGGCCCACUCUCGAAAAGGCCAAGGUUUGAUAAUUGCAUACAUUUCAGAAGCUGGAACUCUCUGUAUAGAGCUAUGGAAUUGACAGUCCUGGCACCCCCUAGCAUAUUUUAUACAAUCUUCAUACAUAGUUGGCCAAUAAUAACCUUAGUGCCGAAUGGUUCACCUUAAUCUCUUCCUAGCUAAAUGUGCUCCACAUAAGCCUUCAUAGACUUCGCCCAUGACUAAUAAGUCUUCCUCAGGUCCUAGGCA
rnacentral:lncRNA from 1 species